rnacentral:rRNA from 1 species
UACGUAGGGUGCAAGCGUUGCUCGGAAUUAUUGGGCGUAAAGCGCACGUAGGCGGUCCGUUAAGUCGGAUGUGAAAGCCCCCGGCUCAACCGGGGAAGUGCAUCCGAAACUGGCGGGCUAGAGUACGAAAGAGGGUCGCGGAAUUCCCGGUGUAGAGGUGAAAUUCGUAGAUAUCGGGAGGAACACCGGUGGCGAAGGCGGCGACCUGGGUCGAUACUGACGCUGAGGUGCGAAAGCGUGGGGAGCAAACAGG